UCCUACGGGACGCAGCAGUGGGGAAUAUUGCACAAUGGGGGAAACCCUGAUGCAGCGACGCCGCGUGAGUGAAGAAGUAUCUCGGUACGUAAAGCUCUAUCCGCAGGGAAGAAAAAAAGUCUUUGGCUUUGGACGGUACCUGACUAAGAAGCCCCGGCUAACUACGUGCCAGCAGCCGCGGUAAUACGUAGGGGGCAAGCGUUAUCCGGAUUUACUGGGUGUAAAGGGAGCGUAGACGGCAGCGCAAGUCUGUAGUGAAAUGCCGGGGCUCAACCCCGGAACUGCUUUGGCAACUGUGCAGCUAG
rnacentral:rRNA from 1 species